AUUGAACGCUGGCGGCAUGCCUUACACAUGCAAGUCGAACGGCAGCACGGGUGCUUGCACCUGGUGGCGAGUGGCGAACGGGUGAGUAAUACAUCGGAACAUGUCCUGUAGUGGGGGAUAGCCCGGCGAAAGCCGGAUUAAUACCGCAUACGAUCUACGGAUGAAAGCGGGGGACCUUCGGGCCUCGCGCUAUAGGGUUGGCCGAUGGCUGAUUAGCUAGUUGGUGGGGUAAAGGCCUACCAAGGUGACGAUCAGUAGCUGGUCUGAGAGGACGACCAGCCACACUGGGACUGAGACACGGCCCAGACUCCUACGGGAGGCAGCAGUGGGGAAUUUUGGACAAUGGGCGAAAGCCUGAUCCAGCAAUGCCGCGUGUGUGAAGAAGGCCUUCGGGUUGUAAAGCACUUUUGUCCGGAAAGAAAUCCUUGGCCCUAAUACGGUCGGGGGAUGACGGUACCGGAAGAAUAAGCACCGGCUAACUACGUG
rnacentral:rRNA from 1 species